GGGUAAUAUUCGCGACGAUUUAGUAACAAGAGGACACACACUUUGGACAGUCACAGUCGAUACCGAUUGAAUUCUUUACUCUAAAUCUCGCCCAAUUCACUUAUCGGCGAGGUUUUCG
rnacentral:ncRNA from 1 species